rnacentral:ncRNA from 1 species
GCUCUGUUGUCGAUGGGCAACAGGCCGACCAUGUGAGUGGUCAGCCGAUCACACCCGCUUCGGCAAAUACAUUGCAGGGGUCGGCCAUAAAGGGGGAGUAGCAACAUGAUUGUGAAACCCCUAGGCCGC